GCCCCUAAGCCCAGCGCAUGCUGGGAUUAUAGUCCGACUGUCGCGACAAAAAGGCUGGGAGUGGAUCUGAGACUACAGUGCCAACACUACGGGGAAUGGAUGCACCUGUCAGCUUCUGAUCAGAAUGACAGACCCAGGAUCAAGCAUAACAUUUAAAUAGAUGAAGAAAACUUUUUUCCAAAAGGUCCAAUGCAGUUUGCUGGAGGUCCAAUCCAGACCCUGUUCACCUGGGUAUCACCAGUAAAGGCUGCAGAACAGCAAAGAUUUGCUGCCUUCUCCUUCCUGUGGAAACUUCAUCCCAAGAGGAUACCCGCCCAAUGCCAGCUGGAGCACUUUUGUAUGAGUGAGGAGGAAUCUAAAGAAGCAGUCUGCCACAGCCACUUUGCUGCACCUGACCCAGACCUCCCAGCCUCCUUGGCAUUGUCAGGGGAAAACUGUCUACUAAAGCCUCAGUAAUGGUGGACUCCACUCCCCGCAACCGAGCUCAAUUGACCCAGGUCAACUUCAGACUGCUGUGCUGGCAGCGAGAAUUUCAGGAUGAGGAACGCAUUAGCUCUUUGUGAUUUUCAUGUCUGUUGCAGGGAUUUGACCCAUUGUUAGUGCUAGAUUUGGAGUCUUAAAAAACAGAUUUAUCUUACUGAACUCAAAGUACAACUUGAAGAUGCACUCAGCUGUUUAGUUAAAUUGCAGCAGGAGAAAAUGUAUCUUUGCAGAUCUAUUUUAUGUCACUUUCUUUUAGAGACGAAAUUGUCUCUGGCACAGUAAUUUAACUUAGUCUAUGUCAAAAACAUAGCCUGAAAUUACUCAAAAAAAUUAUGAAUAGUGGAGUGCAUUCUAUGUGUUUUCAGAUUUCUUCUAUGAUGUAAAAUAAAUAACAUAAUGUUUUACCUUGGAUUUCUAACCUCAACCCUCAGCCAUUUUCCCAAACUUUUUUUUUUUUUUGAGAUGGAGUCUUGCUCUGUCUCCCAGCUGGAGUGCAGUGGUGCUAUCUCGGCUCACUGCAAGCUCCACCUCCCAUGUUCAUGCCAUUCUCCUGCCUCAGGCUCCCAAGUAGCUGGGACUACAGGCACCUGCCACCACGCCCGACUACUGUUUUGUAUUUUUAGUAGAGACGAGGUUUCACUGUAUUAUCCAGGAUGGUCUUGAUCUCCUGACUUCAUGAUUCACCCAUCUCAGCCUCCCAAAGUGCUGGGAUUACAGGCGUGAGCCACCUUGCCCUGCCCCACUUUCCCAAACUAUUAAAAGACCUUCUAAGGUGGUUCAGAAGCAUUUUUCAGAGGAGAUUGUUCCUAAUGGUAAAGGAUAAUAACAGAUGGAUAAAAAUAUCAAAUAAAUUAUGCCUCUGUUUGCAGAAGUGUCACUCUCCAGAGUCUCCAAGAUCCAGAGAAGUUCCACGAGAUAGAGUAGUUUAUGAACAUUUAACAGAGUUGGUCCUGACUGCCGUCUCAGCCUCUUAAUAGCUGUGCAACUAUAGACAAUUUACUGGACUUAGAACAGUUAUAUAAACCUCAGCUGCAAGAAAACACAUAACACUGAUUGCAAGAAUGGCAACCACUUCUCAUUCCUCUCUGAUCUGGGCCCUCUGCAAUGUAUACUUGUGGCUGCUUCCAUAGAGGGAAAGAUUUUCUUUUCCCAAAUCUUGGAUCUGGCUGGGCUUAUUUACUCUGCCUCAUUCAUACUUUUUGUUCUAAUGAAAUAAUUAACAUGUUUAGCGUCUCAUCCCAGCUUUUAUCUUGUUAAAACUAUAUCUUAUAAUAUGUCAUCUCUCUUUACUAUAUUUGGUUAUAUUCAUUCUAUUCAUUAUUCAGCUUUACUAAUCUUUUUAUCUCUGUUUAGUGUUUCACCUAUACAUUUUCUUAAUUUUUUUAUUCUUUACAUUCUACCGAGCUGUGAUUCAAAUAUGCUAUUUUAAUAUGGAAAAUGGUGGCCUAGUUUUUCUUCAGAAAUUUCUUUUUAUUUACUUGUGUUCUUCUGUUUUUAACUUGGUUCCAAUAUUUGGGAAAUAUCACAUUUGAGAUGUCUGUAGUCAUGUUAUUUCUGUGCUUAUUCCAUUUUCCCUUGGAGGAAGGUGGACAGCACACAGACUUGACAUCCUUGUAAUCUAUCAGUAUCUGAAGGGACCACUUUUUUUCAGUUUGAUUACUUCUCUGGCUUAUUCUCUUGAUUUACUUUAGCUUUCAUCAAGUGCUUAUAUAUUUUUAAACUGUAUUCAUUAUUUUCAUGGUUCUUGUAACUUCUUGAGAACUUUUACUUGUCUACACUAAAAUAUUUAAAAAAUAUGUAGCCUUUUCUUUUUAAAGCACAAAUAUUCAGUGCACACAUGAGUAGAGUAUUUCAUAGGCAUUGGGCAGCAUACAACCACAUCUUAUGAGAUAUUCCGUUUCUUCAUUCAAAACAUCUCUCUCAAAUAUGUAGUAAUAGUCACUUGUAAAGGGUAGUUCUUUUGAUACUUAAAAUUUUGUUUUAUGUGCCUUUUUGAAAAUAUAUACUUAACUGCAGUGAACAGAACUGACCUAGAUACAAAAAGAACUACUGUUUUUGUAAAACAUUAAGUUGAUAGAAUGACUUAUCUUAUUUCAAGUCUUUUGACUCUAGUCACUGUGCUUCCUUUUAGUAUGUCCUUGACCUCACAAAAAUAAUUCGUGGAAUCUUCUAUUUAUUUUAUAAAUUAAUUUAAAGAAACAAAAUUUGUGCAUGGCUAAAUAUUACUUGUUGAGUACAAUUUAGAAUUUCUACUGUCAUUUUAGUGUCCUAAAAGAUAUGACCUGUUGAAUUUCUGCUGUCAUAAAAUGAAUGAUAUCGUUAGGCCUAAACCCUUGCCAUUUAUUUUCGCCCUCUGUCAUACAGUGUGUAUCUUUGGUUCACUGCUGAAAAAUUUUAUUAAUUUUUCUCUCUUGCUAGUAAUCAAACUUUUGAAUAAAGUUAUCAUUACUUGUCUUUAUUUAGUUACUGUAUGUUAAACAUUUGAUUUCUGAUGGUCUUAAUGUCAUUUAAUAUAAUUGUAAAUAUUUCAAUUUGUCAUUAUUAACAAAUUUCUGUAUUAUAUAUUUUAGACUCAGCUAUUAAUUAUAUGUGUGUAAAUGACUGUGAAUAGUUUCUAAAACAUUGUAGGGGCUACUAAGUACUAAUAACCCUGAUUCAUUAAAAUUUUAUUCGUUAUACUA